rnacentral:rRNA from 1 species
ACAUCGGGACUGAGACACGGCCGAAUUCUACGGGAGGCAGCAGUGGGGGAAUAUGGACAAUGGGGGCAACCUGAUCCAGCCAUGCCGCGUGUGUGAAGAAGGCCCUCGGGUUGUAAAGCACUUUCAGCGAGGAAGAACGCCUAGUGGUUAAUACCCAUUAGGAAAGACAUCACUCGCAGAAGAAGCACCGGCUAACUCCGUGCCAGCAGCCGCGGUAAUACGGAGGGUGCAAGCGUUAAUCGGAAUUACUGGGCGUAAAGCGCGCGUAGGUGGCUUGAUAAGCCGGUUGUGAAAGCCCCGGGCUCAACCUGGGAACGGCAUCCGGAACUGUCAGGCUAGAGUGCAGGAGAGGAAGGUAGAAUUCCCGGUGUAGCGGUGAAAUGCGUAGAGAUCGGGAGGAAUACCAGUGGCGAAGGCGGCCUUCUGGACUGACACUGACACUGAGGUGCGAAAGCGUGGGUAGCAAACAGGAUUAGAUACCCUGGUAGUCCACGCCGUAAACGAUGUCGACCAGCCGUUGGGUGCCUAGCGCACUUUGUGGCGAAGUUAACGCGAUAAGUCGACCGCCUGGGGAGUACGGCCGCAAGGUUAAAACUCAAAUGAAUUGACGGGGGCCCGCACAAGCGGUGGAGCAUGUGGUUUAAUUCGAUGCAACGCGAAGAACCUUACCUACCCUUGACAUCGACAGAAGCCGAGAGAGAUCUUGGUGUGCCUUCGGGAACUGUCAGACAGGUGCUGCAUGGCUGUCGUCAGCUCGUGUUGUGAAAUGUUGGGUUAAGUCCCGUAACGAGCGCAACCCUUGUCCUUAUUUGCCAGCGCGUAAUGGCGGGAACUCUAAGGAGACUGCCGGUGACAAACCGGAGGAAGGUGGGGACGACGUCAAGUCAUCAUGGCCCUUACGGGUAGGGCUACACACGUGCUACAGUGGCCGGUACAAAGGGCAGCGAGCUCGCGAGAGUCAGCGAAUCCCUUAAAGCCGGUCUCAGUCCGGAUCGGAGUCUGCAACUCGACUCCGUGAAGUCGGAAUCGCUAGUAAUCGGAAUCAGAA